rnacentral:rRNA from 1 species
AACCAGCUCUUCAAGUGGUCGGGAUAAUUAUUGGGCUUAAAGUGUCCGUAGCUGGUAGGGUAAGUUCCUGGUAAAAUUGGGCAGCUUAACUGUCCUUAUGCUAGGAAUACUACUCUACUAGAGGGCGGGAGAAGUCUGAGGUACUACAGGGGUAGGGGUGAAAUCUUAUAAUCCUUGUAGGACCACCAGUGGCGAAAGCGUCAGACCGGAACGCGCCUGACAGUGAGGGACGAAAGCCAGGGGAGCGAACCGGAUUAGAUACCCGGGUAGUCCUGGCCGUAAACGAUGCGCACUAGGUGAUGGUGCGGCUAUGAGCCGCAUCAGUGUCGUAGGGAAACCGUUAAGUGUGCCGCCUGGGAAGUACGGUCGCAAGGCUUAAACUUAAAGGAAUUGGCGGGGGAGCACCACAAGGGGUGAAGCCUGCGGUUC